rnacentral:rRNA from 1 species
AUUGAACGCUGGCGGCAGGCUUAACACAUGCAAGUCGAGCGGGGUGAUGGUGCCUGCACUAUCACUUAGCGGCGGACGGGUGAGUAAUGCUUAGGAAUCUGCCUAUUAGUGGGGGACAACAUCUCGAAAGGGAUGCUAAUACCGCAUACGUCCUACGGGAGAAAGCAGGGAAUCACUUGUGACCUUGCGCUAAUAGAUGAGCCUAAGUCGGAUUAGCUAGUUGGUGGGGUAAAGGCCUACCAAGGCGACGAUCUGUAGCGGGUCUGAGAGGAUGAUCCGCCACACUGGGACUGAGACACGGCCCAGACUCCUACGGGAGGCAGCAGUGGGGAAUAUUGGACAAUGGGGGGAACCCUGAUCCAGCCAUGCCGCGUGUGUGAAGAAGGCCUUAUGGUUGUAAAGCACUUUAAGCGAUGAGGAGGCUCUUUUGGUUAAUACCCAAGAUGAGUGGACGUUACUCGCAGAAUAAGCACCGGCUAACUCUGUGCCAGCCGCCGCGGUAACAC